AGACAACUGAGCAGCCAAAACAUCUUAAAAGAUGAGAUAUUGUGGAUAAAGAAGGUAAAAAGAUGUCCGUGGUGAGGCAGUACUUUUUGCAGUUUAAAGUCCGACACAUUUAUUUAAACAUAAGGAAAAGCCGGUGUCCGGACAGAUUUUUACAUCCGUUAUAUAAAGAUGUAUAAUUAAACGUUUGUCGCUACCCGGUCUGCUUCUUCCGGGUCCGGCUCAUGUACAUGUGCGCAUGUUAGUCGCAUCAUUGACGUCAUGUCAGUGUUCUUUGCUCGGACACGAUUAAUGAUCACGCUACAUUCAUACAGUGCCGGAGUGCAACUCAGCUGUAACGGGGUUUACUUCUUCAAGUGGGCCCAGGCGCAUUUUAGCUUACUGUGCCAAGGCUAGUCGCACUAGUCUAACGAACCGGAUUUUGGGGGUCCAACGUGCUCAAGCACGGUAUGGAUUGUGUGUACACCCCUAAUCCCCAAUAUAAGUACAAAGGAGAGCCCAGGAUCCGCUAUGAGGAAUAUUUACUGAAGCGAUGGCCUUCACAUAAAGUGGCUCAUAGAAAGCUGGCUCAUUUUGCACAGAGCAACCUGCAGCAACUGUACCGUGUGAAAGACUCUUUUCACCAGCGAGACACAUAGUGCAGAAGGAGAGGUCAGCUCUGUCAUCUUACGGUGUCAACAAGCUUCUGCACCAGGUUAAUGGAAAAGUAGCCUAGGUGUAGCGAAUGGAUAUUCACUGAGAUCGAACAUUUCCCCAGUAAGUGUUGCCUUAUAAAGAGGCAGUCUGCGCUUUAUCGUUUAAUGUAGAUUACUGAAGCUACACUUGUUUCAGCAGUGUCAAUUAUUGUUGAAAAUUUGACAUUGUCAAUGUUAAUCUAAAGUACAGAUUCCAUUAAUGGUAGAGAUGCUGACACAUGACAUGCGUAUAGAUCUCUCAACACAAACACGCCUGCUCAUGUGCACUGUGAACGGAGUGAGUGCCAUGAAGAAGCGGGAGGAAGACGUCUGGAUAUUGUUUGCUCAGCAUUGUGUGAUUGCAUGGAUCCAAAGCACACACAGGGAUUAUCUGUGCUUUUCUUGCAUUUCCUAUAGUCAAAGGGAUAUCAAAGGGGAUAUAUAAAGCAAAAGUCAGCAUACCCUAUAAAGGCACUAAUAAAUUCAGCAGAGGCCUCAUGUGGCUGGGAAUCGAUUAAGUUUCUCGAUAGCAGGCCAACCGUACAUGGAGGCUGUUGGUGGCACAGAACCAUCAGUGCCUGACAGCUCU